rnacentral:tRNA from 1 species
AAGUCCCGAAGUGGCCUCACGUUAAAUUGCAAAUUUAAAAACCGCAAACUUAAGUU